rnacentral:rRNA from 1 species
UACGUAGGUGGCACGCGUUAUCCGGAUUUAUUGGGCGUAAAGGGAACGCAGGCGGUCUUUUAAGUCUGAUGUGAAAGCCUUCGGCUUAACCGGAGUAGUGCAUUGGAAACUGGGAGACCUGAGUGCAGAAGAGGAGAGUGGAACUCCAUGUGUAGCGGUGAAAUGCGUAGAUAUAUGGAAGAACACCAGUGGCGAAAGCGGCUCUCCGGUCUGUAACUGACGCUGAGGUUCGAAAGCGUGGGUAGCAAACAGG